rnacentral:tRNA from 1 species
GUUAGCUCAGCUGGUAGAGCAACUGACUCUUAAUCAGUGGGUCGGGGGUUCGAAUCCCUUACG